CGGCGGCGGUGGCGGCUUCAACAGCAGCUCUUGCCCUUAAGGAACAAUGAAACACAAAGAUGGUGCAGACCCAGGCCCUGCUUUGACUGGGAGAAAGAUGCAUUCAGUUGACUAAAACUUGAACAGGGCAGUUUACUUCUAUAGAAGGGUGCACCCUCACAGAUGGACCAAUGUGUCAGGAGAAUUCAGUCACACCCAAAGCAGGAGGUAAUAAGACACCGAAGUGAGGACUUCACAGGCUGCUUGGGAGAAGACAAUCAUCCGUGGGCUUGGGAAAGGGAGAAAUGCCUACUGAGUUUAGGGAAUUGCUUGCUGGAAGAAAUGAUGAUGCGGGAGGCCAGAUGCGCAAGAUGGACACUCGGCUCCUCCUUCGUCCCCGCCUCUCCUCGCUUCCAGGGUAGCAGCCUCAACAAGGGAAACUAUUGUUCCAGUGGAGGCUGCGAGGAUGUCGGUGAUUUACGCGCCGAGCUGUAGCUGCAAAAGGACAAGGGCAAGUGCCGGCCCGACCUAGGCUUGGUGGCAUGCAUGUUUAGUCCCAGCUACACAGCAGGGAGGCUGAGGCUGAAGGAAUACUUGAGCCCAGGAAUUCAAGACUAGCCUGCACAACAUAGUGAGACCCUGACUUUAAAAUAAAUUUAAAAAAAUUAAAAGCAACAAGACUUUCUGCUUGUAUAUGAUGAUGUUAGUAUGCUGACUUACAAGGUUAGAUCAUUUUGAUAUGUGUGAUGUAGGUUUUCAAAGCUGGCACUGUUUUAUGCUUCAAAUAUUAUUUUUAUUCAUUGGUUCUCAUGGGAUUUCAUCACUAAGCUGUAAAUCAAUAAUCAUAAUGUUGAGGGGAGGGGAUUACAAAAUAGCUCUUCAAAAUCAUCUUUGCAUUUCUCAAUAAACAGCAUUCCCUUUUGGACUACAGUGAAAAAUAUUGAGCUUUGUUUACUUUGAAAAUGAGUCUUAGUCUAUGAAUGCCUGGGUAGGGUCAAGAAUGAAAAAUGAGAGGAAGAGAGAAGCAUCAGGAAGAUAAAAUGAUCAAUCUCACAAAACUUGCUAUUUUUAGAAAGCAUCAUUCUAAUUUUGAAACCAAAAAAAUGGGGAAAAACAGAGUAAUGGAAUAAUAGAAUGCCUCAUGUACAAAAGCAACAAUUUCAGAGAUGAUCUAAAACAACUUAUUAGUUAUAGGAAGAAAUAUACCUGAAAAGGGCAAAAAUAAGUUGGGUUUGGCCUCUUGUCACUGAAAUUAUCUACUAAAUCUAACAGCAUCUAUGUUCCUUUAGCUGUUGUGUAUAUUGUACACAAAUGUGA
rnacentral:lncRNA from 1 species